rfam:Aedes albopictus isolate Foshan contig106401, whole genome shotgun sequence.
UGUUCUGUAGCUUAGUUGGUUAAAGCGCCGGACUAGCGAUAACGGAAUCGUGCGUUCGUAUCCCACCAAAACAA